rnacentral:rRNA from 1 species
UGGGGAAUCUUAGACAAUGGGCGCAAGCCUGAUCUAGCCAUGCCGCGUGAGUGACGAAGGCCUUAGGGUCGUAAAGCUCUUUCGCCAGAGAUGAUAAUGACAGUAUCUGGUAAAGAAACCCCGGCUAACUCCGUGCCAGCAGCCGCGGUAAUACGGAGGGGGUUAGCGUUGUUCGGAAUUACUGGGCGUAAAGCGUACGUAGGCGGAUUAGAAAGUAGGGGGUGAAAUCCCAGGGCUCAACCCUGGAACUGCCUCCUAAACUACUAGUCUAGAGUUCGAGAGAGGUGAGUGGAAUUCCAAGUGUAGAGGUGAAAUUCGUAGAUAUUUGGAGGAACACCAGUGGCGAAGGCGGCUCACUGGCUCGAUACUGACGCUGAGGUACGAAAGUGUGGGGAGCAAACA